CGUGGGUGCGGGCGCUGGCUGCCCGGCCGCUGCUCAUAACGGCGGUGUGCCCGGAUCGACACCGGGACCCACGAC
rnacentral:tRNA from 1 species